AUGGAACGACAUACUGCUCCUAAAGAUAGAUACGGAUGUACAACCAAGAAUCGAUGGGGCAAUCUUAUCCCAAAGUUCAUACCAGUUUUGCGCAGGAUGGACAGAGUUCUCACGAGUGUUGAGUGGGAACAAAAAUUUCCCUUCGUGACGGUGCAAGCGUUACAAAGAGGAAUUUCUGAGCAUACAACCAUGCUUGUGAACUCUGGUGAGGCCAGUCAUCAAGGAAACAACUAUACUUUCUCUAUUGAAACUGCGUGGUUCGAGAGAUAUGAGUUCCUUGAGUUGAUAGCAAAGGAAUGGGCCUCAGAGCAAAGGGGUGAGUGGAAUGUCGCUAGAUGGCAAUAUAAGAUUAGACACCUCCGACAGAUUUAG
rnacentral:rRNA from 1 species